rnacentral:rRNA from 1 species
AACUUGGUGUGGGUUGUUGCUGGCCUUUCUUGGGCAUGUGCUCGCCUUCAUCAUAUUUAUAUUUCCACCUGUGCACCAUUUGUAGACAAGAAAGAAAAAGGAAUUUUAGCAAACCUGUUUCUAUUCCUUAGAGUAUUUCUUAGUCUAUGUUUUUAUAUACUCCAAAAAUGUAACAGAAUGUUAAUCUAUGGGCCUUUGUGCCUAUAAACAAAAAAUUAUACAACUUUCAGCAACGGAUCUCUUGGCUCUCGCAUCGAUGAAGAACGCAGCGAAAUGCGAUAAGUAAUGUGAAUUGCAGAAUUCAGUGAAUCAUCGAAUCUUUGAACGCACCUUGCGCUCCUUGGUAUUCCGAGGAGCAUGCCUGUUUGAGUGUCAUUAAAUUAUCAAAAAACCUUUGGUUUUGUUAUCAAUGGCUUUUUGGAUUUGAGGGUUUUUAUUGUUGGCGAAAGUCAACUCCCUUGAAAUGCAUUAGCUUGGUUGACUAGACUUUGUCUAUUGGUGUGAUAAUUAUCUACGCCAUUGGAUUGUCUGCUUGUCGAACUGCUUCUAAUUGUCCCUUUG